GGUGUAUGAGAAAUGGGAGCAUCUGGGAUGUUCGCUGCACAGAAACUGACAGUGCUGAGAUGACACAGCAGGUAUUUGCACAAAGCUUCAGAGUGAAUAGUUACAUGGCAUUAAGAUGACUGCCUUAAAACAAUUGUCUCCGGAACCAAGUGGCCAUGAGUGAAGAUACCAUAAGCAAUUGCAUACUUCCAGUGGGUCACAAGCCAUCCGAGCAACUGCCAUUGAGAUGAAUGGGAAUGCUAAGGGAUAGCGCUCUCCAGGUGAAGCGACUCCCCCUCCGCAGUCUAAAAGGCCCAACCACUGCCCUGUCUCCGGGACUUCCAGUUAAUCUCCAAUCGGGCUCUUCUUUAACCAGUGAGCGCAUGGACAAAGUGGCACCUGUU